AGCGAGAUGGAGUAAUUGGCAACUCAUCAGGCUCAUGACCUGAAUAUUGUAGGUUCAAGUCCUACUCUCGCCA
rnacentral:tRNA from 1 species